UGCGGAACGAUGAAUCUCACUUGUGGGGGGAUUAGUGGCGAACGGGUGAGUAACACGUGAGUAACCUGCCCUUGACUCUGGGAUAAGCCUGGGAAACCGGGUCUAAUACUGGAUACGACCUUCCCGCGCAUGCGGUGUUGGUGGAAAGCUUUUGCGGUUUUGGAUGGACUCGCGGCCUAUCAGCUUGUUGGUGGGGUAAUGGCCUACCAAGGCGACGACGGGUAGCCGGCCUGAGAGGGUGACCGGCCACACUGGGACUGAGACACGGCCCAGACUCCUACGGGAGGCAGCAGUGGGGAAUAUUGCACAAUGGGCGCAAGCCUGAUGCAGCGACGCCGCGUGAGGGAUGAAGGCCUUCGGGUUGUAAACCUCUUUCAGUAGGGAAGAAGCCGGCCCUUGGGUUGGUGACGGUACCUGCAGAAGAAGCGCCGGCUAACUACGUGCCAGCAGCCGCGGUAAUACGUAGGGCGCAAGCGUUAUCCGGAAUUAUUGGGCGUAAAGAGCUCGUAGGCGGUUUGUCGCGUCUGCCGUGAAAGUCCGGGGCUUAACUCCGGAUCUGCGGUGGGUACGGGCAGACUAGAGUGCAGUAGGGGAGACUGGAAUUCCUGGUGUAGCGGUGAAAUGCGCAGAUAUCAGGAGGAACACCGAUGGCGAAGGCAGGUCUCUGGGCUGUAACUGACGCUGAGGAGCGAAAGCAUGGGGAGCGAACAGGAUUAGAUACCCUGGUAGUCCAUGCCGUAAACGUUGGGCACUAGGUGUGGGGGACAUUCCACGUUUUCCGCGCCGUAGCUAACGCAUUAAGUGCCCCGCCUGGGGAGUACGGCCGCAAGGCUAAAACUCAAAGGAAUUGACGGGGGCCCGCACAAGCGGCGGAGCAUGCGGAUUAAUUCGAUGCAACGCGAAGAACCUUACCAAGGCUUGACAUGAACCGGAAUGAUGCAGAGAUGUGUCAGCCACUUGUG
rnacentral:rRNA from 1 species